UCGUAGUUUACUGCGAUCAGUUUUUUAUUGCCUGACAGAAGGGAACAUUUGCAUUUAGGCAUUUUUUUAUAGUUAGAGGGUUCAAACGGCAAGAGAGGAGGAACUGUGAUUUAUUUCAACGUGUGUACCAGACUAGCAACACCGCGUAUGUUAUUUUUGAAAUAGCUGAAAUAAACAAACAGUUGCGUCCCACUCAUAUUACUCCUGGAAUUGGUUUGUGCGAAAAAUAGAAAAUUCUAUUUUAUACAAAAUUUGCUCGCAAAAGAAGGAAAAUUGGAAUCAACAUCCAACUUCGAAAAAGUUUAAUUUUUGUGUUUCGAGUUCAUCUCAUCAGUGAUUAGUAUCAGCUUUAGGCGUUCACACAAGUUGUGUAACUGUUUAGAAUUAGUGUCUAACUGGUGCCAAUUUAGCGCUAGUUUGUAUUUAUCGUCGAAUUGGUGCAAAGUUGGCGCAUACGGAUAUUAUUCUUCUUUAUAAAAGAAUAAUAUUUAAAUAAAAGACUAAAGCAAAAUGUAUCUUUCUCGAAACUCAGACCAUGGCUUCUCCGGUACUACGCCUUCAGCAAGCAACAAUCGGAAAACAAAGAAGAAACUCAUCUCUCCUUACACCAGUGUGACCCUCAAGCAUCAAUGAUCGAUUAAAUGACCGCGCAGACAUACCGUUCGAGUUUUUCUUUUAUCAAAUAGCACACACCUUGGUCGGGUCACCGACCCAACAGACAGACAGACAAACAGAUGAAGCCGGCAAAGUGAGUCAUCAUAUGUUCUCACACCACCACCAUCUUCAGGCAGUUGGG